AUACGUAGGUGACAAGCGUUAUCCGGAUUUACUGGGCGUAAAGGGCGUGUAGGCGGUCUUGCAAGUCAGAAGUGAAAUUCCUGAGCUCAACUCGGGCGCUGCUUCUGAAACUGCAGGACUUGAGUGCUGGAGGGGAUAGCGGAAUUCCUAGUGGAGCGGUAAAAUGCGCAGAUAUUAGGAAGAACACCGGUGGCGAAGGCGGCUUGCUGGACAGUAACUGACGCUGAGGCGCGAAAGCGUGGGGAGCAAACAGGAUUAGAUACCCGGGUAGUCCACGCCGUAAACGAUGAAUACUAGGUGUAGGGGGUAUCGACUCCCUCUGUGCCGCAGUUAACACAAUAAGUAUUCCGCCUGGGGAGUACGGCCGCAAGGUUGAAACUCAAAGGAAUUGACGGGG
rnacentral:rRNA from 1 species